rnacentral:rRNA from 1 species
AGUGAACGCUGGCGGUAGGCCUAACACAUGCAAGUCGAACGGCAGCACAGUAAGAGCUUGCUCUUACGGGUGGCGAGUGGCGGACGGGUGAGGAAUACAUCGGAAUCUACUUUUUCGUGGGGGAUAACGUAGGGAAACUUACGCUAAUACCGCAUACGACCUACGGGUGAAAGCAGGGGAUCUUCGGACCUUGCGCGAUUGAAUGAGCCGAUGUCGGAUUAGCUAGUUGGCGGGGUAAAGGCCCACCAAGGCGACGAUCCGUAGCUGGUCUGAGAGGAUGAGCAGCCAGACUGGAGAUGAGACACGGUCCAGACGCCUACGGGAGGCAGCAGUGGGGAAUAUUGGACAAUGGGCGCAAGCCUGAUCCAGCCAUACCGCGUGGGUGAAGAAGGCCUUCGGGUUGUAAAGCCCUUCUGUUGGGAAAGAAAAGCAGCAGGUUAAUACCCCGCUGUUCUGACGGUACCCAAAGAAUAAGCACCGGCUAACUGC